rnacentral:rRNA from 1 species
UACGUAGGGGGCAAGCGUUAUCCGGAUUUACUGGGUGUAAAGGGAGCGUAGACGGCAGCGCAAGUCUGGAGUGAAAUCCCAUGGCUUAACCAUGGAACUGCUUUGGAAACUGCCAUGCUAGAGUGCUGGAGAGGUAAGUGGAAUUCCUAGUGUAGCGGUGAAAUGCGUAGAUAUUAGGAGGAACACCAGUGGCGAAGGCGGCUUACUGGACAGUAACUGACGUUGAGGCUCGAAAGCGUGGGGAGCAAACAGG